rnacentral:lncRNA from 1 species
GGAGCUUCCUUAGCGAAGCAUCUAAGCAACUUUCAGAACAUAGUGAAUCAGUUCGUCACAAUGAAGAUAGCAUUAGAUGAGGAGCUCCAAGGCUUACUACUAUUGAGUUCCUUGCCUGACAGUUGGGAGACGCUGGUGGUGUCUUUAAGUAAUUCUUCAUCAGAGGGUUAGAUAGCCAUGGCAAUAGUGAAAAACUAUAUGCUUAAUAAGGAGGC